UACGUAGGUGGCAAGCGUUGUCCGGAUUUACUGGGCGUAAAGAGCGCGCAGGCGGUCGUUCAAGUCGCGUGUGAAAGCCCCCGGCUCAACUGGGGAGGGUCACGCGAUACUGAUCGACUGGAAGGCAGGAGAGGGUAGUGAAAUUCCCGGUGUAGUGGUGAAAUGCGUAGAUAUCGGGAGGAACACCAGUGGCGAAGGCGACUACCUGGCCUGUUCUUGACGCUGAGGCGCGAAAGCUAGGGGAGCAAACGGG
rnacentral:rRNA from 1 species